AGUAGUAUGGGAAUGUUCAUAUUGCAUAUAAUGUAUAUAGAUCGAACUCUAAUUACUUUUCAUUUGCAUUUAUUAGUCCUAGUUCUUAUGUUUCCUUGUUUUCUGCACUGCUGCAACAUGCAAAUUUUAUUACCCUGUCAGUUAUGUGAUAAAACGAACAGCUGUUCACAUGAAUGAAACUUUUAAUGUUUUAUUGUAACAUUAUCUAAAAGACUUUUUUAUUUUAUGAUUUCUAUUAUGCAUUUUUAUGUAGUUUGCAGGAUAAAAUUUGACUAGACUAAAACUAGACUUGGGCGACUUCUUGUCAGUCCCAUCUAGAAACACUGACCAUAAUCAGUCCACAGACUAGAGUGUUACAUAGCAUUUGUGUUCAUGGAAGUUUUAGUAACAUGUAAGUUUGAGGAGUGAAAAGAUCAGCUAAAGAAGAAGAAGGCCUACCUCAAGAAACGAUAAGCCAACACCUGAACACAUCAUGACAUUGCAGCAGCUUUUUUUUGUGAACAGGAAAAGCAUGGUUUCCUGUCAGCAUAUUGAGAGAGAACAAGCAGCAGCAGGUCUUAGCAGAUGCAAACUGUGCACCAAAGAUGAAGAGCAUCUUCCCAAAGUUUGCUCUCAAAAGACUCAACACGUUUCUUGCAAUCAUUGUGAUUUUUGUUUACAAGGUUGUGAUUGACAAAGAUUUGGAAUGCACUUGCAAAAACCAAUCUCGGGAUUGUAUUUUAUUCAUGGUUCUGCCAUUUGGUAUUUUAUUUGUCUUGCACCUCUGGGUGGACAAGAGAUUUCAGAGAAUCUGGAGAUUUACAUGCACCACCUGUAGCAAGACAUGUUGCAAGUUUAUCUGGGUUUUGUUGGUUGAUAUUCUCAAGGCAGCUUUCAUAGGUGUGCUGUGGGUUAUAUUCGUGUUACUUGAUGGAGACUGGUAUGUUUGCUGUCAGAAUGAUGGUUCUGAACAACAAGCACAGUUAGCCUGCAAAGACAAGAACAACAUCACACCUGAGGAAAAAGCAAACAUCGCUGAACUGAAAAGCUGGUCCCAGACUUUUGGCUUCUUUGUGUUCUUUUUUACCCUUUUUGCAUUUGCCAUCUUGUCAACUUUUAGAUUGAUGAGAUGCUGUAGUCCUUGUUGCAACAGAAAGAUUCUCUAUGAUAAAAUGAUUUUGGAGGAGGAGGAAAAUGUACUGAAGGAGAUUUUGAGGGGAGCUGCAAGAGAACAGUUGACUCAAGAAAUCAGAGACAAAAUAAAGGAUGAACCUUGGGAAGAAUGUUUUAAUGCUGCUGACGGACUGAUUAGCUAUACCAGAACUCGACCGAGAUUGGCUGAACAACAAGGGGAAGGAAGUCCAGCUUCACCGGAGGCUGACUGACAUGUGAUCAGUACAGAGGUCACUAGAGGUCGCUGCUCCGUCACUUUUCACUCUGACAUGCAAACAGUAGAGUUUAAUCAGGAGGUUCUGACUUUGACUGUAGCUGCUCUAUCAGCCCCGACUGUAAGUGAGGUUUACAUACUAAUCAAUUAUUUGAUCUUGCUGUUGUCAUAUAUCCAUCCAUCGACUUGUUCUGUAAUGUGUUCCAUGUGAGAUGACUGACUGAGGUUGUGUUUUUCUAAACAGGAUCGGACCCUUUUAUAGCAGCAACCAGGUUCAUCAACGAGACGAGACUCAUCCCACAUAACAGAAAUCCAGAAGUCUGAUGAUGCUUAAACUUCUACAUGAUAGAUGCCUCUAUAGUCAACAAAUGUUAUUGUUUUACUGCAAAUAUAAUGUGUUCAUCAGGAAUUGAAAGAUGUUUUCUAUCAGCUGUUUCUCUGUUCACAUUUAAAUUAAAUGUUUCCUCUUUCUCUGUAGAAAUGUUCUCAUGUCUGCAUGUUUAAUUUUAUUUUUUUACUGUAAUUAGUCUAGUCUUCAUCUCUCAGAUAUACUGAACAUGAUAAUCACGCAGGAUGAUUUUGAAUUUUUGCACUGAGACAUUUUAAUGUGUAAAUAUAAAUUUGUCAGCGCUGUCUAGUGGAAAAACUCUUUAAAUGAAGAACUGUUACCAAAUGAACUUUGACAUGUUUUGUAAUGUAUUAACCAUUAUAUUAAUUAUAUAUUGAUUACUUUCCUAUUAAACAGAAUGUAAAACUGAUACAGUAACAAAUUCAUGAUUUUUAGU